AACGCUAGCUACAGGCUUAACACAUGCAAGUCGAGGGGAAACGAUAUUGGAAGCUUGCUUCCGAUAGGCGUCGACCGGCGCACGGGUGAGUAACGCGUAUCCAACCUGCCCAUCACUUGGGAAUAACCUUGCGAAAGUAAGACUAAUGCCCAAUGACAUUUAUAGAAGGCAUCUGAAAUGAAUUAAAGAUUUAUCGGUGAUGGAUGGGGAUGCGUCUGAUUAGCUUGUUGGCGGGGUAACGGCCCACCAAGGCGACGAUCAGUAGGGGUUCUGAGAGGAAGGUCCCCCACAUUGGAACUGAGACACGGUCCAAACUCCUACGGGAGGCAGCAGUGAGGAAUAUUGGUCAAUGGGCGAGAGCCUGAACCAGCCAAGUAGCGUGCAGGAAGACGGCCCUAUGGGUUGUAAACUGCUUUUAUAUGGGGAUAAAGUGAGUUACGUGUAGCUUAUUGCAGGUACCAUAUGAAUAAGGACCGGCUAAUUCCGUGCCAGCAGCCGCGGUAAUACGGAAGGUACAGGCGUUAUCCGGAUUUAUUGGGUUUAAAGGGAGCGUAGGCCGCCCCUUAAGCGUGUUGUGAAAUGCCGCGGCUCAACCGUGGCACUGCAGCGCGAACUGGGGGGGCUUGAGUGCACGCAACGCAGGCGGAAUUCGUGGUGUAGCGGUGAAAUGCUUAGAUAUCACGAAGAACUCCGAUUG
rnacentral:rRNA from 1 species